ACCGCUCUGUUCCCGGCCAACAUGGCGGCCCCCGAGUCAGCGCCGGUUUUGAGUCCCGGCUCUGCAGACGAGGAGGAGACGAUUCUCUAUGACUUGCUGGUUAACACCGAGUGGCCACCCGAGACAGAAGUUCAGCCCCGAGGCAACCGAAAGCAUGGUGCAUCAUUCAUCAUCACAAAAGCAAUCAGAGAUCAUCUGUUAUUUUUGCGUCAGUACAUCUGGUACAGCCCUGCUCCGUUUUUGCUUCCUGAUGGACUGGUUCGCUUGGUCAAUAAACAGAUAAACUGGCAUUUGGUACUCGCAAACAAUGGCAAGCUUCUGGCGGCUGUUCAAGAUCAGUGUGUGGAGAUCAGGUCUGCAAAAGAUGAUUUCACAUCAAUUAUUGGGAAAUGUCAAGUUCCAAAAGACCCAAAGCCCCAGUGGAGACGGGUAGCAUGGAGUUAUGACUGCACACUGCUGGCCUAUGCUGAGAGCACAGGGACUGUAAGGGUGUUUGACCUCAUGGGCAGCGAGCUCUUUGUCAUUGCCCCGGCAUCUGUCUUUGCUGGGGACUUAAGCUAUGCCAUUGCUGGGUUGGUGUUUUUAGAAUACAAGGCAAGUGCACAGUGGUCUGCAGAGCUCCUGGUCAUCAAUUACCGAGGAGAACUUAGAAGUUUCCUUGUCAGUGUUGGGACAAAUCAGAGCUACCAAGAGAGUCAUAGUUUCAGCUUUAGUGGUCAUUAUCCACAUGGAAUAAACACCGCUAUCUACCACUCCGGGCAUAGGCUUUUACUGGUUGGUGGAUGUGAAACUGCUGAACUGGGCAUUUCUAAAGCUUCUAGCUGUGGCCUUUCUGCAUGGAGAGUCCUUUCAGGCUCACCGUAUUAUAAGCAAGUUACUAAUGGUGGAGACAAGGUCACUGAGGUGCCAAAGACACUGGGAUUAUUAAAGCUGUUAAGUGUCAAGUUUUAUACUCGCCAGGGACAAGAACAGGAUGGAAUCUUCAAGAUGAGCCUUUCUCCUGAUGGGAGCCUACUUGCCGCAAUUCACUUCUCAGGGAAGCUGAGCAUCUGGGCCAUUCCAUCUCUGAAGCAACAGGGAGUCUGGAGUCAAGAUGAGCAGCCAGGCUACAAUGAGCUUAAUCCUGAUUGGAGGUUGUCUCCUGAGAAGAGGAAGAAAGUAAAAGAUAAAGAGUCCUUUUAUCCAUUGAUUGAUGUCAAUUGGUGGGCAGAUGGCGCAGUGACCUUGGCUCGGUGCUCUGGUGCAUUAACUGUUUCAUCAGCGAAAAGUUUGAAGAAUUUACUGGGAAAAUCCUGUGAAUGGUUUGAGCCCUCCCCCCAAGUCACUGCCACUCAUGAUGGGGGGUUCUUAAGUUUAGAGUGUGAAAUUAAACUUGCCCCCAAACGAUCUCGAGUGGAGAUGAGGGCUGGAGAAGAAGAUGAAGGGGAAGCAGAUUCUGACUCAGAUCAUGAAACGUCUGCCAAGGCACGCUAUUUUGGGUACAUCAAGCAAGGCCUUUACUUAGUUACAGAGAUGGAGAGGUUCGCACCUCCUCGGAAACGACCUCGAACCAUCACAAAGCACUACCGCCUUGUGAGUCUGCGCUCCACAACUCCAGAGGAGCUUUAUCAGAGAAAGAUUGAAAGUGAAGAAUAUGAAGAAGCCUUGUCUUUGGCUCACAGCUAUGGCCUGGAUACCGACCUUGUCUAUCAGAGGCAGUGGAGGAAGUCAGCUGUCAACAUUGCUUCAAUUCAGAAUUACUUGAGUAAAAUCAAGAAGCGGUCUUGGGUUCUCCAUGAGUGUUUGGAGAGAGUUCCUGAGAAUGUGGACGCUGCCAAGGAACUCCUGCAGUAUGGCUUGAAAGGCACAGACCUGGAGGCUCUGGUUGCCAUAGGGAAGGGUGCAGAUGAUGGCAGAUUUACCUUACCGGGUGACGUAGACAUUGAUAGCAUUGCCUACGAGGAGCUUUCCCCACCAGACAAAGAGCCUGCCAAGAGCAAACGGCGGAAAGACCUUAAGAAGAGACAUGAACUGCUUAAAUUAGUGAACUUUUCAAAGUUGACCCUGGAACAAAAGGAACUGUGCCGUUGUAGACUGAAGUUAUUAACCUUCUUAGAUCGGCUUGCAACAUAUGAGGAAAUCCUAGGGGCGCCGCAUGCGUCUGAACAGAGAUAUGAUGCUGAAUUUUUUAAGAAGUUCAGAAGUCAGAAUAUUGUCCUCUCAGCAAGAACGUAUGCUCGGGAGAGUAAUGUACAAGCCCUGGAAAUCCUGCUGACGUAUCAUGGCUCUCAUCUGCUCCCUCAUCGCCUUGCCAUCCUCUCCAACUUUCCAGAAACCACCUCUCCACAUGAAUAUGCUGUUUUGUUGCCGGAGGCUUGUUGGGACAGUGACUCCUUGACCAUCAUCCCUUGGGCUGAGCAUAAACACCGAGCUGAAGACUGGUGCGAGGAAUUGGAAUGCAGAAUGGUGGUGGAACCCGGCCUCCAGGAUGACAGUGAGUUCCUGUAUGCUGCGCAGCCUGAGCUCCUGCAGUACAGGACGCCCCAGCUUACUGUGGAGAAGGUGAUGGCCUGGUAUCAGAGCAGAGCAGAGGACAUAGAGCACCAUGCUGGGCAGGUGGACUGCGCCUUGUCACUUGUUCGCCUUGGAGUGGAGCGCCAUAUUCCUGGCUUGCUGACUCUCUGUGAUGAUUUGGUGACGCUGGAAACACUGGUUUAUGAAGCAGGCUGUGACUUCACCCUCACUCUGAAAGACCUGCAGCAGAUGAAAGACUUUGAAAAACUAAGAUUACUGAUGGAGCAUUGUUCUGAGGACAAUUAUGUAACCAGCGCUUACCAGUGGAUGGUUCCAUUUCUCCACCGCUGUGAGAAACAGUCUCCUGGUGCAGCCAAUGAGCUACUAAGAGAAUAUCUAGUAACUUUAGCUAAAGGAGACUUGAAACUUCCCUUGAAGAUAUUUCAGCAUUCUAAACCAGAUCUGCAGCAAAAAAUUAUCCCUGACGAGGACCAGCUGAUGGCCAUAGCACUUGAAUGCAUCUAUAACUGCGAACGAAGUGACCAGCUCUCCCUCUGCUAUGACAUCCUAGAAUGCCUCCCACAAAGGGGCUGUGGGAAUAGUACAAAGGUAACCUCAUCUCUUCAUGACAUGGUAGACCAACUGGAGAAAAUUCUCAGUGUGUCCGAGCUUUUGAAAACACAUGGACUGGAGAAACCAGUUUCAUUUGUGAAGAACACCCAAUCCAGCUCCGAAGAGGCACGCAGCCUGAUGGUUCGACUGACCAGGCACACUGGGCGGAAGCAGCCUUCUGUUGGUGAGUCUCACUGGAGGAUGCUGCUACAGGACAUGUUGACCAUGCAGCAGCACGUGUACACGUGCCUUGAUUCCAAUGCUUGCUAUGAGAUAUUUACAGAGAGCCUUCUUUGCUCCAGUCGCCUGGAAAACAUCCACCUUGCAGGGCAGAUGAUGCAGUGUAGUGCCUGUUCAGAUAAUCUUCCAGCUGGUGCUGUCCAUAAAGGAAAACCCCAGUACAGAGUCAGCUAUGAGAGAAGUAUUGACUUGGUUUUGGCUGCCAGCAGAGAGUACUUCAACUCUUCUACCAACCUCACUGACAGCUGCAUGGAUUUGGCCAGGUGCUGCUUACAGCUCAUAACGGACAGGCCGCCUGCCAUCCAGGAGGAGUUAGACCUCAUCCAAGCCCUGGGCUAUCUUGAAGAAUUUGGGGUGAAGAUCCUGCCUUUGCAAGUACGCUUGUGUUCUGACCGAAUCGGCCUCAUCAAGGAGUGUGUUUCCCAGUCCCCCACAUGCUACAAACAGUCAGCCAAACUGCUAGGCCUUGCUGAGUUGCUGAGAGUUGCAGGUGAAGACCCAGAGGAAAGGCAUGGGCAGGUUCUGAUCCUGUUAGUGGAACAAGCACUCCAUGUCCAUGACUACAAAGCAGCUAGUCUGUAUUGUCAGGAGCUGAUGGCCGCAGGAUACCCAGACAGUUGGGCUGUGUGUAGCCAGUUGGGCCAAUCAGAAGGUUACCAGGACCUGGCCACUCGUCAAGAGCUCAUGGCUUUUGCUUUGACACAUUGCCCUCCUAGCAGCAUUGAACUUCUUUUGGCAGCUAGCAGCUCUCUUCAAACAGAGAUUCUUUAUCAAAGAGUAAAUUUUGCAAUCCAUCCUGAAGGAGAAAAUAUUAGUGUCUCACCCUUAACUGGUAAAGUUCUACAAGAGGAUGCUCCUUCAGGCAGCAGUUCAGCUGACCUGUUAUACUGGACCACUGCAACCACCAUGAAAGUCUUAUCCAAUACCACGACUACUACCAAGGCUGUGCUGCAGGCUGUCAGUGAUGGGCAGUGGUGGAAGAAGUCCUUAGCGUACCUGAGGCCCCACCAGGGGCAAGAACUUGGUGGAGCAUAUCGAAUUGGAACUGUAGCCAACGAUGACCUAGAAAGACAAGGAUGCCACCCUUUUUAUGAGUCAGUCAUCACAAAUCCCUUUGUCACCGAGCAGGUCCCUGUGGAGAGCUUUGCUGAAGUAUUGCUGAGAACUGGAAAGCUCGCAGAGGCUAAGACACAAGUAUUUCCAACCACGGAAGUUCUCUUGCAACUAGCAAGUGAUGCUUUGCCGAAUGACAUGACAUUGGCUCUUGCUUAUCUCCUUGCCUUACCUCAGGUGUUGGAUGCUAACAAGUGCUUCGAGAAGCAGGCUCAUUCAGCACUGUCUCUCCAGCUCGCAGCUUACUACUACAGCCUGCAGAUUUAUGCCCGAUUGGCUCCAUGUUUCAGGGACAAGUGCCAUCCUCUUUACAGGGUUGAUCCCAAGGAAUUAAUCAAGAUGGUUACCAGGCACGUGGCUCAACAUGGGCAUGAAGCCUGGCCUGAGGACCUCUUGUCAUUGUCCAGGCAGCUGCACUACUACAACGAGCGUCUUCUUGAUUUCAGCCAGGCUCAGCUCCUCCAGGGCCUGCGGAAGGGUGUGGACGUGCAGAGGUUCACUGCUGAUGACCAGUACAAAAGAGAAACCAUCCUGGGCCUUGCAGAAACCCUUGAGGAAAAUGUCUACAGUAUCGCUCUUUCCCUGGCACAGCGGUACAGCAUCUCACAGUGGGAAGUCUUCAUGACCCAUUUGGAGUUCCUCUUCAGUGAUAGUGGUUUGCCCACAGGAGAAAUUGAAAAGCGAGCCCAAGCCCUUCAUCUCUUUGACACUCUGAAGACAGACCCUGAGUCCUUUCAUAAACACAUGGUCAAGUAUAUCUACCCCACCAUCGAGGGUCUUGACCAUGAAAGGCUGCUGUAUUAUUUCACUCUCCUGGAAAGCUGUGGCUGUGCCGACUUUGAAACAACUGCUAUUAAACCAGAAAUCCACAUCCGCCUGCUGAAGAAAUUUAAAGUCGUUGCAUCAGGUCUCAAUUAUAAGAAGCUGACUGAUAAAAGCGAGGAUGUGUUGGAAGCCCUGGAGCCUGUGCUCACGAGUCAGAAUAUCUUAUCUAUCUCCAAACUUGCUCCCAGAAUCCCUGAGAAGGAUGGGCAGAUGCUUUCACCCAGCUCUCUGUACACUGUCUGGUUGCAGAAAUUGUUCUGGACUGGAGAUCCCUACCUCAUCAAGCAGGCUCCAGAGUCUUCUGCAGAGUGGCUUCAUGCCUACGAUGUCUGCCUGAAGUACUUCGAUCGACUCUGUCCGGAUGACCUCAUUACUGUUAUGGAUGCAAUCACAUUUUCUCCAAAAGCUGUGUCCAAGCUGUCAGUAGAAACACGUGAAGAGAUGACCAGAAAGGCCAUUAAGUCAGUCAAGCAUUUCAUAGAGAAACCAAGGAAAAGAAAUUCAGAAGAGGACCCCCAAGAAGGUCGUGGUUCUCAGGCCACCUAUGCAGAUGCCUUGGCUCAUCUGGAGACGUCGCUUGCCCACCUGGGAACCCUCAGCCACAACUUCAUCCUCAGUCUGAAGAACAGUGAGCAGGAAAUACUACAGAGAUACAGUUACCUCUAUGAUCUGUCACGAUCAGAAAGAGAGAAACUUCAUGAGCAAGCUGUGGCCAUGUGUUUAGAUGGCCAACCUCUAAGGAUGAUUCAGCAGCUGCUAGAAGUGGCCAUUGGUCCUGUCAACAUCUCACCCAAGGAUGUAGUGCAUACUGCAAUCACUCAAAUAAUUUCUGCAUUGAGUGGCAGCAGUGCUGAGCUUUGUGGGUCACGUGACCCCCUCCAGGUCCUAGAACGUGUUGUUGGGGCAGUCCGUACCAGUGUGGACAAUGGGGAGGAGCUGGUGUCUGCUGAAGAUGUGCUGCAGUGGCUGCGGCCUUUCUGUGCUGAAGACACAUGUCCUGUGAGGCCUCGAGUCCAGGUGCUACAACUCUUGGGGCAGUCCUUCCACUUGAGUGAGGAGGACAGCAGGCUCCUCGUGUUCUUCCGAACGGAAGCCAUUCUCAGAGCAGCAUGGCCUCAGAGACAGGUGGACAUAGCUGACAUUGAGAAUGAAGAAAACCGCUACUCUCUGUUCGAGGAGCUCCUGGAAUCUAGUCACCAUGAGGUUGAAUUUCAGCACUUGAUUUUACUCUUGCAAGCUUGGCCACCUAUGAAAAGUGGAUGUGUCAGUGUAGCCAACAAUCCGUGGGUGAGACUGGUGUCCGUGAUGCUGACCAGAUGUACAGCAGAGAACAAGCAGGACCUAGGGGACGAGGUGUUGAAGAUCUGCCGCUCCCUCUACAACACCACACAGAUGCUGCCCAUGGAGGGUGUAAAGGAGCUGUGCCUGCUGCUGCUGCACCAGUCCCUCCUGCUCCCAUCCCUGAAGCUUCUUCUGGAGAGUGGUGAUGAAACUCUACAGGCCAUGGCCCUGGAGCAAAUCUCCGCUGUCACUAAGGUGAAUGACUCCAAUUGUGACCAGGAGCUGCUUUCCCUGCUGGUGGAUGCCAAGCUGCUGGUGAAAUGUGUCUCCACACCCUUCUAUCCACAUAUUGUUGGUCACCUUGUGGCCAACAACCAGCAAAGGCACUGGAAUGUAGAGGAGCUGGCUAGACACCUGCAGGAAGCUGGCCAUGAAGUUGAAGCUGGGUCACUCCUCCUGGCUGUCCAAGGGACUCACCGGGUCUUCAGAACUUUCAGCACUGCCCUCAGUGCAGUAAGGCAGUGGGUAUGAGCACAACCACCCAUGACCCUGCUCCUGGCAGGAGAGAGCACCAGACCCCAAAGCCAUGCCUGAAGCAUCAUUUGUAGCAGUUAACUGUUCUCCAUUUCUAACAAGUCAUGAAUAAAGGUCUACAGACACUGAGAAUAACAAGGGCAUCUAUCCUGUGGGAUUCCCUGUUGGGCUUGAGCCAGAAGCAGGGCCCACACCCAGCCAUCUUCUCUGCUACCUGACCCUGCCUCUGAAGAGUGUACUAUAUCCAUCCUCACCAUUGUUCCAGCUCUGCAUCCUUUGAUGGGUGUUCCAGCAACAGAUGUAACUUCUCAUCAAGCCAGGGAGGGGAAGAAGAAGCUGGGUAGACAUCUGGUAGGUUUGCAUGAUGGCUGAUGUCGCUGGUGUUACCUCAGAACUCUUCCCUGGUGAUCUUGUUUGGAAGAUCUUUCUGGAGGAAGACACAUAUUUUGGCAAAAUUUCUCCUGGAUAUCAGAACUAUGUCACAGUUAAAGCAGCAGAGCUCACCCGAGGGUCUGACUGAACACCCUCACCUAGGGCCAGCAAACGGAGACUUUUGAAGAAAACCAUCACUGGAUACAAUGCCAAGAUCAGUGAAUCAUGGGGAGUACAGCCCUGAAGGAUACAUCUACAUCACAGGUCCUGUAUCUAUGGCUCAUGGAACGUUGCAGAAAAAUGGAUGGCAAGAGAAUAAGAACCAAAAUACCACUAAGGGUGAGGCUGCUGUGGAACAGUCUCUCCUAGAAAGGGCUGCAUAAACAACACUGAGAAUAAUACCAUUAUCAAUGGACAUGUUAACACGGAAGGGUGAAAUUUCAUGUGGUCCCAUUCCCAGACAAAGAACUACAGGUUACGGAGAGUGAAUGAAGACUUGAGUUGACGUCAUGAAACAGUUCAUAAGAUGGGGUUAUGCUGCAAGUCUCUGGAGCUGCCGCCUGCUGUGCCUGCUUUGCUGGUGACCUACUGUUGACUUGUCUGCUCUUGUGAUCCUUUCAUCUUUUUCCAUCUGGAAGGUGAAAAACUUGAUCUUAGAGAUGUGGCUUUUAUGAAGUGUGCCAAGACAGUAUAAAAGCUGCUGCAACAGAA